UGUAGCAAUACAUGGGUGGCGACCGGCAAACGGGUGCGGAACACGUACGCAACCUUCCUUUAACUGGAGAAUAGCCCGGGGAAACCCGGAUUAAUACUCCGUAACAUUAUGAAGUGGCAUCACUUUAUAAUUAUAGCUCCGGCGGUUAGAGAUGGGCGUGCGUCUGAUUAGGUAGUUGGCGGGGUAACGGCCCACCAAGCCUACGAUCAGUAACUGGUGUGAGAGCACGACCAGUCACACGGGCACUGAGACACGGGCCCGACUCCUACGGGAGGCAGCAGUAAGGAAUAUUGGUCAAUGGACGCAAGUCUGAACCAGCCAUGCCGCGUGGAGGAUGAAGGUCCUCUGGAUUGUAAACUUCUUUUAUUUGGGAAGAAACCCCCGAUUUCUAUUGGGGUUGACGGUACCAGAUGAAUAAGCACCGGCUAACUCCGUGCCAGCAGCCGCGGUAAUACGGAGGGUGCAAGCGUUAUCCGGAUUCACUGGGUUUAAAGGGUGCGUAGGCGGGUUGGUAAGUCCGUGGUGAAAUCUCCAAGCUUAACUUGGAAACUGCCGUGGAUACUAUCAAUCUUGAAUAUAGUGGAGGUGAGCGGAAUAUGUCAUGUAGCGGUGAAAUGCUUAGAUAUGACAUAGAACACCCAUUGCGAAGGCAGCUCGCUACACUAUUAUUGACGCUGAGGCACGAAAGCGUGGGGAUCAAACAGGAUUAGAUACCCUGGUAGUCCACGCCCUAAACGAUGAUUACUCGACAUCAGCGAUACACUGUUGGUGUCUGAGCGAAAGCAUUAAGUAAUCCACCUGGGAAGUACGACCGCAAGGUUGAAACUCAAAGGAAUUGAC
rnacentral:rRNA from 1 species